rnacentral:rRNA from 1 species
UAGAGAUAGAGCUUCUCCUUCGGGAGCAGAGUGACAGGUGGUGCAUGGUUUGUCGUCAGCUCGUGUCGUGAGAUGUUGGGUUAAGUCCCGCAACGAGCGCAACCCUUGAUCUUAGUUGCCAUCAUUAAGUUGGGCACUCUAAGGUGACUGCCGGUGACAAACCGGAGGAAGGUGGGGAUGACGUCAAAUCAUCAUGCCCCUUAUGACCUGGGCUACACACGUGCUACAAUGGACGGUACAAAGAGCUGCAAGACCGCGAGGUGGAGCUAAUCUCAUAAAACCGUUCUCAGUUCGGAUUGUAGGCUGCAACUCGCCUACAUGAAGCUGGAAUCGCUAGUAAUCGCGGAUCAGCAUGCCGCGGUGAAUACGUUCCCGGGCCUUGUACACACCGCCCGUCACACCACGAGAGUUUGUAACACCCGAAGUCGGUGGGGUAACCUUUAUGGAGCCAGCCGCCUAAGGUGGGACAGAUGAUUGGGGUGAAGUCGUAACAAGGUAGCCGUAUCGGAAGGUG